UGCGUAGGCGGCGUUGUAAGUCAGAAGUGAAAGCUUUCAGCUCAACUGGAAAAUUGCUUUUGAUAAUGCAGUGCUUGAAUCGGGUUGAGGUUAGCGGAAUGUGACAUGUAGCGGUGAAAUGCAUAGAUAUGUCAUAGAACACCAAUUGCGAAGGCAGCUAACUAGGCCUGUAUUGACGCUGAGGCACGAAAGCGUGGGGAGCGAACAGGAUUAGAUACCCUGGUAGUCC
rnacentral:rRNA from 1 species